UAAAACUUGAAAUUUUAAAAACUGGAAUGAUACAGAGAAGAUGAACCCCUGCACAAGGAUGAAAUGCAAAUUCAUGAAGCGUUCCAUAUUUUU
ensembl:snRNA U6 U6 spliceosomal RNA